rnacentral:piRNA from 1 species
UGUGAAGGUGAUAGACUUUGGCAUGGCCAU